CCGACCAUUUCGAAAAUGCUGAAGCACGUACCAGGGGCUGAACCUUCCCGGCAACUGCAGCGCAGCCUCACAUGUUCCCGAAGAGCUCUGUGGACCCCUGAGUGGAGGGGGGCGCGGGGGGUUGCUGCAUGUGGCUGAAUGCUGCUUUGCAAGGCUCAGACUCAGGAAAAUGCCAGGGGGUUCAGGAAAAUGUAGCAAAGCAAUGAAGGGUGGUGCUGCAUCAAUUCUGCUGCUGGCUGCUGUGUCAAGCCAGAAGCUGGAGGUCAAGUGCCUGCUGCAAAUCCAGCUCUGAUCUGCUGGUCUGCCCUAAGCCUUUUGCCUCUGUGCCUGUUGUCAGUCAGGUGUGUGCCUACCCUUUGCACAAGUAAAGGUUGUGUCAACAUGUGAAACAUUUUUGGGACAAGACAAAAAUUUGGAUCCUAGGCAUGGCUGGUGGUCAAUGGUCAUUCCAUAAAGGAUUUCACAGAGCAACAGAAACAGAGACUGCAGAAGAAGCCUCUGGUCAGGAACACAAAUGGAAUAGGAAACACGAAACAUCUCCAGGAUCAAUGCAGGAGCUGUCCAGAGCAAAGAGGGAAACCCUGGUGCUUGUGCGGUAGCACGAAAACUGCCAGGUAUAAAUUUAACCUCUGAAGUGCCAGGCAGAUUCUCUCUGAUUUUUCCAGUUUACCUGAUUUGCUGACUUUUGGAAAAUAUUGUGAGAUUCUUGGACCAAAAUAUAAAUGAAUGACCUUUGAAUUCUCAGUGGCAUUAAAGCCUCUUAAUUGGAAACGUGUUAUUUUACUGAAUUCAUUUAAACUCAUGCAAAAAGGGGAACCAUCAAAAUAGAUAUUCUCACGUCAUCCUCUAGGUUUUCCCCCCUUCAAGUACUGUUUGAGCUGUGGUAUUUGAGUACACAGAGCUCAAAGUUUUCCCUUCCCCUUUCAAAUACACAUUCCCUGAUCCUUGUCAUUAAUAAUCUUGAUUCUGUGCUUGCUUCGAAUAUCUUCUCCAGCUUCUCAUAGUUAUUUCACUCCAUCCCCUUUCCUGAGAGCAGACCUAUGUUCUCCCAGAAGACAUUUCCAUUUAAUUUUUUUUUUUUGUUUCAUUCUUCCCCUUACCUUUCUGAAUGCAAGUUCAGACAUCCAGGCAGCUUUUACUUACCUACCUACUAGAAUGGAAAGCCCACUUUAUCCUCAUUUGCUGUCCAGACUAUUUCUAUUUCUAAUAUUUCUAUUUCUAUUUAUCUCUCUCUAUCUCUCUUUCAUUUGAAAUGCCUUUCAUCCUACUAAUUACUGCCCAGAGUGAUGCCACAGAACAACACUGCGGUGCAACUUUGCAGUGCUUCCUGCUCACACUCACACACACAUGCACACAGAGACACAAGCGCAUUGGGAAGCAGGAAUGCAGGCGAGUUUUGACCUCCGGUGUCCGCACAAUGAGCCGCGGACGAUGCAGAAGGUUGGCUGCUUCUAUACAGACCUGCUUUUGUGCUCUUGUCCAGGGCUUGAUCCUUGGAGCCCUGCGUGCUCAGUAGACGCCAGAGAGAUAGAUGUGAUCUGUUAGCCUCAUCCAGCGCCGGCAGCUGAGCCAUUUUCACACAGGCAGGCAGGUAUGGCAAAGCCUGGGUAACAGAUGAGAACCCAUGGGGAGCUCUUGACUAUGGAGAAUGAAAAAUCAAAAGAAACCAUAUUGGACACAGAUACAAAAGGAGUCCCCUGUUCCUUUUCUAUCCCCCCUUGUUUCUUUUCUCCUCUUCCUUACCAGGCUGUAAUGAAUGUGGAAAACUGCUUCCCCCCUCAAAGUAUGUGAGGACAUAUAGAUUCCAGAUGCUAUUCUAUGCAAAUACUUCCACCCUUCCCUGCCCAGCAGCACUGCUAGUUAACCCUUCUGCCUAUCUGUUUGCUGCCUUGUGCUUUCCACACUGCUGUAGGAAAUAAAUAAAAAAAAAAAAAAAAAAAGGAAGAAAAAAAAAAGAAGAAGAAGAAAAAAAAAAGAAAAACCACCUUAAAAAUACCUUAACCUUUAUUCUCAGAGUGCAGUGUACAGCUUAACACCCUACAUAUUGCAUUU